rnacentral:rRNA from 1 species
ACUCCUACGGGAGGCAGCAGUGGGAAUAUUGCACAAUGGGCGCAAGCCUGAUGCAGCCAUGCCGCGUGUGUGAAGAAGGCCUUCGGGUUGUAAAGCACUUUCAGUCGUGAGGAAGGUAGUGUAGUUAAUAGCUGCAUUAUUUGACGUUAGCGACAGAAGAAGCACCGGCCAACUACGUGCCAGCAGCCGCGGUAACACGUAGGGUGCGAGCGUUGUCCGGAAUUAUUGGGCGUAAAGAGCUCGUAGGCGGUGUGUCGCGUCGGCCGUGAAAACUUGGGGCUUAACUCUGAGCGUGCGGUCGAUACGGGCAUCACUUGAGUUCGGCAGGGAGACUGGAAUUCCUGGUGUAGCGGUGAAAUGCGCAGAUAUCAGGAGGAACACCGGUGGCGAAGGCGGGUCUCUGGGCCGAUACUGACGCUGAGGAGCGAAAGCAUGGGGAGCGAACAGGAUUAGAUACCCUGGUAGGCUCUG